CCUACGGGAGGCAGCAGUGAGGAAUAUUGGUCAAUGGACGAGAGUCUGAACCAGCCAAGUAGCGUGAAGGAUGACUGCCCUAUGGGUUGUAAACUUCUUUUAUAUGGGAAUAAAAUGUUCCACGUGUGGGAUUUUGUAUGUACCAUAUGAAUAAGGAUCGGCUAACUCCGUGCCAGCAGCCGCGGUAAUACGGAGGAUCCGAGCGUUAUCCGGAUUUAUUGGGUUUAAAGGGAGCGUAGGUGGAUUGUUAAGUCAGUUGUGAAAGUUUGCGGCUCAACCGUAAAAUUGCAGUUGAAGCUGGCAGUCUUGAGUAUAGUAGAGGUGGGCGGAAUUCGUGGUGUAGCGGUGAAAUGCUUAGAUAUCACGAAGAACUCCGAGUGCGAAGGCAGUUCACUGGACUGCAACUGACACUGAGGCUCGAAAGUGUGGGUAUCAAACAGGAUUAGAUACCCCAGUAGUC
rnacentral:rRNA from 1 species